CGGGCCGUGUACUCCCAGAUCGCGUCCGGAUCGGUCAGCGACUCGUCCCCGAAGUGGGAACCGUCCGCCAGGACCUCCAGGACCGCGUCGUCCCCGUACGGACCGGUGCCGAUCUUCUCGACCCGGCCGUGGGCGAGCAGGAACACCUCACCGGACGGGUUGCCGAACGACGUCAGCACCUCCCCCGCCGCGUACUCCCGCUGCUCGCAGCGUCCGGCCAGUUCCCCCAGGACCUCCAGAUCCUCGUAGUCCCGCAGGACCGGCAGUUCCCUCAGCUCGGCGGGGAUGACGCGGACGUCGUCCCCGGUCUUGACGAACGUCACGCGCCCGUCCCCGACGGAAUAGGUCAGCCUCCGGUUCACCCGGUACGUACCGCCCUGCACAUUCACCCACGGCAGCAUCCGCAGCAGCCAGCGCGAGCUGAUCUCCUGCAUCUGCGGUGCCGACUUGGUGGUGGUGGCCAGAUUCCGCGCCGCCGCUGUGCCGAGACUCUGCUGCGGCUGCGC
rnacentral:antisense_RNA from 1 species